AACGCUGGCGGCGUGCCUAAUACAUGCAAGUCGAACGAGUUCUGAUUAUUGAAAGGUGCUUGCAUCUUGAUUUAAUUUUGAACGAGUGGCGGACGGGUGAGUAACACGUGGGUAACCUGCCCUUAAGUGGGGGGUAACAUUUGGAAACAGAUGCUAAUACCGCAUAAAUCCAAGAACCGCAUGGUUCUUGGCUGAAAGAUGGCGUAAGCUAUCGCUUUUGGAUGGACCCGCGGCGUAUUAGCUAGUUGGUGAGGUAACGGCUCACCAAGGCAAUGAUACGUAGCCGAACUGAGAGGUUGAUCGGCCACAUUGGGACUGAGACACGGCCCAAACUCCUACGGGAGGCAGCAGUAGGGAAUCUUCCACAAUGGACGCAAGUCUGAUGGAGCAACGCCGCGUGAGUGAAGAAGGCUUUCGGGUCGUAAAACUCUGUUGUUGGAGAAGAAUGGUCGGCAGAGUAACUGUUGUCGGCGUGACGGUAUCCAACCAGAAAGCCACGGCUAACUACGUGCCAGCAGCCGCGGUAAUACGUAGGUGGCAAGCGUUAUCCGGAUUUAUUGGGCGUAAAGCGAGCGCAGGCGGUUUUUUAAGUCUGAUGUGAAAGCCCUCGGCUUAACCGAGGAAGUGCAUCGGAAACUGGGGAACUUGAGUGCAGAAGAGGACAGUGGAACUCCAUGUGUAGCGGUGAAAUGCGUAGAUAUAUGGAAGAACACCAGUGGCGAAGGCGGCUGUCUGGUCUGUAACUGACGCUGAGGCUCGAAAGCAUGGGUAGCGAACAGGAUUAGAUACCCUGGUAGUCCAUGCCGUAAACGAUGAAUGCUAGGUGUUGGAGGGUUUCCGCCCUUCAGUGCCGCAGCUAACGCAUUAAGCAUUCCGCCUGGGGAGUACGACCGCAAGGUUGAAACUCAAAGGAAUUGACGGGGGCCCGCACAAGCGGUGGAGCAUGUGGUUUAAUUCGAAGCAACGCGAAGAACCUUACCAGGUCUUGACAUCUUUUGAUCACCUGAGAGAUCAGGUUUCCCCUUCGGGGGCAAAAUGACAGGUGGUGCAUGGUUGUCGUCAGCUCGUGUCGUGAGAUGUUGGGUUAAGUCCCGCAACGAGCGCAACCCUUAUGACUAGUUGCCAGCAUUUAGUUGGGCACUCUAGUAAGACUGCCGGUGACAAACCGGAGGAAGGUGGGGAUGACGUCAAAUCAUCAUGCCCCUUAUGACCUGGGCUACACACGUGCUACAAUGGAUGGUACAACGAGUUGCGAGACCGCGAGGUCAAGCUAAUCUCUUAAAGCCAUUCUCAGUUCGGACUGUAGGCUGCAACUCGCCUACACGAAGUCGGAAUCGCUAGUAAUCGCGGAUCAGCACGCCGCGGUGAAUACGUUCCCGGGCCUUGUACACACCGCCCGUCACACCAUGAGAGUUUGUAACACCCGAAGCCGGUGGCGUAACCCUUUUAGGGAGCGAGCCGUCUAAGGUGGGACAAAUGAUUAGGGUGAA
rnacentral:rRNA from 1 species